GGUUUUUUUUUGAUUUUUUUACAACUGUUUAGUGCAAUGUGCAGUUUUUUUUUGUUGUUUUAUCUUGGUCAAUAAAAUUAAACAAAUGACCUGGAUUAGUACCCAGUUAAUCUAAAUUUAAAAGUUGCAGGAGUAAAGUAAUAUUUAAACUGUAAUAAUAUUGGCGGAUUUUUUAAUUAUCUUUGGAGGUUGAGCUGUAAUUGAAAACCCUCAUUAUCAGCUUUGAUUUUUGUCGCAGGUAUGAUCGUUUAUGUCCUUCUUAAAAAGGGGCAUUAAAAAUUAUUUGGGGUUUAAUCAAUGAUAUCUAUUAAAACAAAUAAAUACCUGGUAUAUAUCAAAGUUUUCGUUUGACCUACAAUAUCUUAUGUUUCGGAUAAGGAGGAAAAAUUCUUCUUUGAAGUUGUAAAAAACAGUAAAUGCUUUUUAAUGUAGCAUUGAAG
rnacentral:rRNA from 1 species